ACACCAGAUGCCCAACGUUAGGGGGGUGGCUAUGCGGUCAUCUGAAAGACAGAGAAGGGGUUACAUGACUUCUUUAUUUCUGAAUGAAUUUAUUGGAUGACCAAGGAAGGUAUGGGCCAGGGUUCAACAUUUGCCUAGUUUGUGGUGCCUUUGAACAAUGGAGACGGCCCCAUCUCUUGGGAUUAUUAACUCUACUGUCCUCUGGUGAACUAAAUAGGGCUUCACCCAACACUAACAGUAUCUGGCAAAUCUGGCAAAACAUGGAAUCAUCAGAGGAGAAAAAAAGCCAAGCAGAAUGUCCAAAUGUGUCCAUGUCUAGAAAAGUAUCUCUUCUUCUCCCCCUUGUGGCCAGGCAACUUUGCAAUGAAGAAACUCCAUUCACCCAACCAAGGCAGGUCAAACAAAGCUCCUGCUCUUUCAGCCUUAGGGAGUUGCCUGCAGCCUGGAGAAGCUAAGCAACUUGUCCAUGAUCAUCCAGACAAUCCAUAUCAGAGAUGUCACUUGAACCCAGAUCCUUCUAACUCAGCAGCUAGCUCCCUCUCCAGGAUACUACACAGCCACUCAAAUGCUAGCAAUAUACAACCAUUUACUCAUAAUGUGACCUUGGACUUGUCUCUCUGGGUCUCAGUUUCCUCCUCUAUAAAAAGAAGGGGUUGCACUUGCUAGUCUCCAAAGUUCCUUCCAGCUCAGACAUUUUGAGAUACUUUUGUCCAUUUGCUGUGUGAUGGUAAACAAGUCUGUCUCCUUGAAUUUUCCCAUCUACCAGGUGCAAAUAGCAAGAUUUGCUUUUCAAAAGAAAGAUGGAGCCCUAAAGGGGAAUGAACUGCUUUGGGAAGUAGGAGGCUCCUCAUCACUAGAAGAUUUUUGACAACUGGUGGCAGAUCUAAGAAGCAGAAAGGCAUAGUGGGUAAAGUACUGUGUCAGGAAGACACAAGUUCAAAUCCUAUCUUUGAUACUUAGCAGCUGUGGGCACUCCAGGCAACCCUUAGGUUCCUCACCUAUAAACUGAGGAAUUUGGACUCCAUGGCUCCUAAGGAUCCCUCCCUCCUAGCUCAAAAAUAAUCUCCCUUUGUAGAGAGAAUUCCUGCUCAGUUAUAAAUUGGGGCAGAUGGCCAUUAAGGACCUUACAAACUGAAGUUUCCGUGAUCCCAGGGUAAUAUUGCCUGCUUUGUCUCCUUCAUAAUAAGGCUGUGAAGAUAAAAAUGAGAUAACAAAUGUCAACACUUUGAACUGUUCAAAACAUAGCACAAAUAUAAGGUACUAUAAAAUCUCCAACUGAAUUAAGGAAAACAAGUCUUUUGUCUCUCUUUCACAAUUAAAAUAAAAUAAAAUAAAAUAAAAUCUAACCA
rnacentral:lncRNA from 1 species